rnacentral:antisense_RNA from 2 species
GUGGGAGGGGGCUUGCUCCCGAUAGCGGUGCGUCAGUCGCCAGAUGUAUUGACCGAUCCACUGCCAUCGGGAGCAAGCCCCCUCCCAC